CCUACGGGAGGCAGCAGUGGGGAAUAUUGCACAAUGGGGGAAACCCUGAUGCAGCAACGCCGCGUGAGGGAAGACGGUUUUCGGAUUGUAAACUUCUAUCAAUAGGGAAGAAAGAAAUGACGGUACCUACAUAAGAAGACCCGGCUACCUACGUGCCAGCAGCCGCGGUAAUACGUAGGGGGCAAGCGUUAUCCGGAAUUACUGGGUGUAAAGGGAGAGUAGGCGGCAAGGUAAGCGAUAUGUGAAAGCCUUAAGCUUAACUUAAGGAUGGCAUAACGAACUAUCUAGCUAGAGUACAGGAGAGGAAAGCGGAAUUCCGAGUGUAGCGGUGAAAUGCGUAGAUAUUAGGAAGAACACCAGUGGCGAAGGCGGCUUUCUGGACUGAAACUGACGCUGAGGCUCGAAAGCGUGGGGAGCGAACAGGAUUAGAUACCCCAGUAGUC
rnacentral:rRNA from 1 species